UGUAUAGCAAUAGCUACUUGCAUCAUUGUACAGAUCAUGCAAGAUCGACUAAGUCGAAUAAAAUUCUAGGUAGAAUUAUGAUAAUGACAUUGUCUGCCUAUGUGUCUUGACCAAAUUACGUGCCAGCAGUCGCGGUAAUACGUAGAAGACUAGUGUUAUUCAUGUUUAAUCGGUUUAAAGGGUACCUAGACGGUAGAUCAAGCUUUUAUAUAUAAAUUAUGUUAAUUAAAGGACUAAUUUGCUAGAGUUACUUACGAGGGGGUAUUAAAGUACUGCUGGUGUAGAGAUGAAAUUCUGUCAUACCUCUUUUCGAAAGAAAAAUCAUGGCACAGGUAUAGGCGAAGGCAUCCCCUUAUGUGAUAACUGACGUUGAGGGACGAAGGCUUUGUGUAACAAACAGGAUUAGAUACCCUAGUAGUUGAAGCAGAAAAUGAUGAAUGUCAUAGAUUAGAUAUAUAAGUUUAUUCUAUAAAUGAAAGUGUAAGCAUUCCACCUCAUGAGUAAUUUGGCAACAUUGGAAUUGAAAUCAUUAGACCGUUUCUGAAACCAGUAGUGAAGUAUGUUGUUUAAUUUGAUGGUCCGCAAAAAACCUUACCACAACUUGAAUAUUUAUAUUUUUUUAUUGUUUUCUUCUUAAUUUUCUUCUAAUAACAAGCUCAACAUCUGUAAUAAGAAGAAAGUUAAUAAAGAGGCAAUAAUAUAUAUUUACAAGUGUUGCACGGCUGUCUUCAGUUAAUGUCGCGAGACUUUGGUUAGUUCCAUUAAAUUAACGUAAACCCUUACUUUAUUUUGACAUAGAGUAGUUCCCCGCU
rnacentral:rRNA from 1 species